GUUCUGUGCCCUUUAUAUGGAAGAAAAUCUAAAGCUUUCCAAGCCGCUUCAGGGACUUCAAACACUGCUAUUAUAUCAAAUUUGACAAAAACUGCGAGUCCAUGGUUGGGUUGUCACUAUCUGUGGACAGUUCUCAAUCACUCACUGCUGCCGAGUAUAUAAAGAGAAGAGCCAAGGAGGCCGUUCGAGCAGAAGAAACUCCUUGUGGGGCUUGGUCUGUGACAAGGUUGUGCUCUGCUACCCAUGGAACAUUAAAUAUUCCGGGAUUGAGUUUGGGAGAUGGGCCUAAAGGAGGACUUGGG